UACGAACUGUGCAAGCGUUAUUCGGAAUCACUGGGCUUACAGGGUGCGUAGGCGGUCUGUUAAGUAGGGUGUGAAAGCCCCCGGCUCAACCGGGGAAUUGCGCCCUAAACUGGCGGACUGGAGUGAGAUAGGGGUGUGCGGAACUUCCGGUGGAGCGGUGAAAUGUGUUGAUAUCGGAAGGAACGCCGGUGGCGAAAGCGGCACACUGGAUCUCAACUGACGCUGAGGCACGAAAGCCAGGGGAGCGAACGGG
rnacentral:rRNA from 1 species